rnacentral:rRNA from 1 species
GAUGAACGCUGGCGGCGUGCCUAAUACAUGCAAGUCGAGCGAACAGACGAGGAGCUUGCUCCUCUGACGUUAGCGGCGGACGGGUGAGUAACACGUGGAUAACCUACCUAUAAGACUGGGAUAACUUCGGGAAACCGGAGCUAAUACCGGAUAAUAUAUUGAACCGCAUGGUUCAAUAGUGAAAGACGGUUUUGCUGUCACUUAUAGAUGGAUCCGCGCCGCAUUAGCUAGUUGGUAAGGUAACGGCUUACCAAGGCAACGAUGCGUAGCCGACCUGAGAGGGUGAUCGGCCACACGAGAACUGAGACACGGUCCAGACUCCUACGGGAGGGAGCAGUAGGGAAUCUUCCGCAAUGGGCGAAAGCCUGACGGAGCAACGCCGCGUGAGUGAUGAAGGUCUUCGGAUCGUAAAGCUCUGUUAUUAGGGAAGAACAAAUGUGUAAGUAACUAUGCACGUCUUGACGGUACCUAAUCAGAAAGCCACGGCUAACUACGUG